AUAGCUCCCAAAACGAGAGUUACUCGUUUCAACCAAAACAAAAAAUUCUUCAUAGCUUGGAAACUAUUAAUUUUUCGACCCGUGUUUAUUAGGAUUUUUUUCAUAAUUUGAGGAAAUGAAGGUAGACAAUUUUUAAACGACAAUGAUUGAUAAUUUAUUGUAAUAUCCAAUGACGAAAGUGGAAUACAAUUUUACCAGCCAGGCUUUCUAUCCGAAAUUGAAGUCAUUUUCCGCUGAUAUUGAUUUAAAAAAUCAUGAGCCAACAGUAUAUGAAAUAAUUAUUCCAAUUAGAGUAAGGUCGCAUAAUAUAAAACAAUGACUCUCGAUUAGUUAUUACAAUGUGUCAUUUAAG